UUUCGAAAUACGAUCUUCUGCUUAGCAUAUUCAAUCCGGAUGGUUGGCUCGAGAUCACAUAUGUUGAUGACAACAUGACGAUAGGGAGAGAUGACAGUGGCAAUAUCUUCAUGCUAGAGAGAUCCCAAGAAUCUGAAACUUAAAGAUCAAUUUGCUGCAAUGAUCUUCCUGACAGCAAAUUCAUUAUUUUACUGAUACAAUCUUCAAGAAUUAUGCUGAUUUCUUCAAUUAUUUCAGUUGAAAAUUUUGACUCAUUGCAAACAGAACACAUGUAACACUUUACCAUAUUGGCAAAAGCCAAAUUCAUCGCAGUUAAGUUUUUGAAGCAAAACAUUGUGUCUACAGAAAUCUGUCCAGCUACAUUAUACGUGCAGCAAGAAUUGCUGAUAUAUGCAGUCGUUCUUAUCCCA